rnacentral:rRNA from 1 species
AUUGAACGCUGGCGGCAGGCCUAACACAUGCUAGUCGAGCGGAUGAAGGGAGCUUGCUCCUGGAUUCAGCGGCGGACGGGUGAGUAAUGCCUAGGAAUCUGCCUGGUAGUGGGGGAUAACGUCCGGAAACGGGCGCUAAUACCGCAUACGUCCUGAGGGAGAAAGUGGGGGAUCUUCGGACCUCACGCUAUCAGAUGAGCCUAGGUCGGAUUAGCUAGUUGGUGGGGUAAAGGCCUACCAAGGCGACGAUCCGUAACUGGUCUGAGAGGAUGAUCAGUCACACUGGAACUGAGACACGGUCCAGACUCCUACGGGAGGCAGCAGUGGGGAAUAUUGGACAAUGGGCGAAAGCCUGAUCCAGCCAUGCCGCGUGUGUGAAGAAGGUCUUCGGGUUGUAAAGCACUUUAAGUUGGGAGGAAGGGCAGUAAGUUAAUACCUUGCUGUUUUGACGUUACCAACAGAAUAAGCACCGGCUAACUUCGUG